rnacentral:rRNA from 1 species
UACGUAGGUGGCAAGCGUUACUCGGAAUCACUAGGCGUAAAGCGCAGGUAGGAGGUUUGGUAAGUCUGUUGUGAAAGCUCCCGGCUUAACUGGGAGAGGUCAACGGAAACUACUAGGCUAGAGUGCGGUAGAGGUAGCUGGAAUUCCCGGUGUAGCGGUGAAAUGCGUAGAUAUCGGGAGGAAUACCUAUGGCGAAAGCAGGCUACUGGACCGUCACUGACGCUGAGGUGCGAGAGCGUGGGGAGCGAACCGG